UACGUAGGUGGCAAGCGUUGUCCGGAAUUAUUGGGCGUAAAGCGCGCGCAGGUGGUUCCUUAAGUCUGAUGUGAAAGCCCACGGCUCAACCGUGGAGGGUCAUUGGAAACUGGGGAACUUGAGUGCAGAAGAGGAAAGUGGAAUUCCAAGUGUAGCGGUGAAAUGCGUAGAGAUCCGGAAGAACACCGGUGGCGAAGGCGGUCUGCUGGGGUAAUGCUGACACUGAUGCGCGACAGCGUGGGGAGCAAACAGG
rnacentral:rRNA from 1 species